UACCAAUGAAAAACAAUGCCGAAACAAAGAAGGCAACGAAGCACAAAGAACAUAAAAUACAACUCUAACUCAGAAUCUAGCACAUCACACCUUGCCUACCAUCAAACCAACAAAGAGAAAAACUUGAAGUAGUGGCUAACCGAUGGAGACGAAAAAAUCCACGACACCGGACAGCGGCUCCUCCUAUACCAAUGAAGACUA
rnacentral:lncRNA from 1 species